GACGAACGCUGGCGGCGUGCUUAACACAUGCAAGUCGAACGAAGAGCGAUGGAAGCUUGCUUCUAUCAAUCUUAGUGGCGAACGGGUGAGUAACGCGUAAUCAACCUGCCCUUCAGAGGGGGACAACAGUUGGAAACGACUGCUAAUACCGCAUACGAUCUAAUCUCGGCAUCGAGGAUAGAUGAAAGGUGGCCUCUACAUGUAAGCUAUCACUGAAGGAGGGGAUUGCGUCUGAUUAGCUAGUUGGAGGGGUAACGGCCCACCAAGGCGAUGAUCAGUAGCCGGUCUGAGAGGAUGAACGGCCACAUUGGGACUGAGACACGGCCCAGACUCCUACGGGAGGCAGCAGCGGGGAAUCUUCCGCAAUGGACGAAAGUCUGACGGAGCAACGCCGCGUGAGUGAUGACGGCCUUCGGGUUGUAAAGCUCUGUUAAUCGGGACGAAAGGCCUUCUUGCGAAUAGUGAGAAGGAUUGACGGUACCGGAAUAGAAAGCCACGGCUAACUACGUG
rnacentral:rRNA from 1 species